ACCGACUUGGUUUAGUGGCUAGAGCGAGCGAUGGCAAGUGUGAUUAGAUAAUCUCUUCAUUGACGCUGCGGGUUCGAAUCCCGCCACCAGUAGGUA